rnacentral:rRNA from 1 species
CUGCCUUUAGGUCCGGGACAACCACUGGAAACGGUGGCUAAUACCGGAUGUGCCGCAACGUGAAAGGGGAAACCCGCCUGAAGAUGAGCUCGCGUCUGAUUAGCUAGUUGGUGAGGUAAAGGCUCACCAAGGCGACGAUCAGUAGCUGGUCUGAGAGGAUGACCAGCCACACUGGGACUGAGACACGGCCCAGACUCCUACGGGAGGCAGCAGUGGGGAAUUUUCCGCAAUGGGCGAAAGCCUGACGGAGCAAGACCGCGUGAGGGAAGAAGGCUCUUGGGUCGUAAACCUCUUUUGUCAGGGAAGAACACAAUGACGGUACCUGACGAAUCAGCCUCGGCUAACUCCGUGCCAGCAGCCGCGGUAAUACGGAGGAGGCAAGCGUUAUCCGGAAUUAUUGGGCGUAAAGCGUCCGUAGGUGGCUAGUCAAGUCUGCGGUCAAAGACUGGGGCUUAACCCUGGAGAGGCCGUGGAAACUGACGAGCUAGAGUGCAGUAGGGGUAGAGGGAAUUCCCGGUGUAGCGGUGAAAUGCGUAGAGCUCGGGAAGAACAUCGGUGGCGAAAGCGCUCUACUGGACUGCAACUGACACUCAGGGACGAAAGCUAGGGGAGCGAAUGGGAUUAGAUACCCCAGUAGUCCUAGCCGUAAACGAUG